UACGUAGGGGGCUAGCGUUGUCCGGAAUCAUUGGGCGUAAAGCGCGCGUAGGCGGCCGGAUAAGUCCGGUGUGAAAGUCACAGGCUCAACCUGUGAAUGCCGCUGGAAACUGUCUGGCUUGAGUCCGGAAGGGGCGAGUGGAAUUCCUGGUGUAGCGGUGAAAUGCGCAGAUAUCAGGAGGAACACCAAUGGCGAAGGCAGCUCGCUGGAACGGUACUGACGCUGAGGCGCGAAAGCGUGGGGAGCGAACAGG
rnacentral:rRNA from 1 species